AGGCUCCCAGUCCCCGCGCCCAGCAGCCGGCAGCCACGGCGCCCAACCUGGCCACCAACGGCGCCAGGUUGAGUGGCCAGAGCAGCCGCUCGCCACCAGCUCCGGGCGGACGGCUAGGACAGAAGCACACGAGGCGGCGCCCAUCCCUUAUUGCCGGCGCCCAUCCCUUAUUUCCGGUGCAUUCCGCCGGGGCCUUGGCAAGCCGGAUGUAGAAAGGGGUAGAGCAACCGAGCCGAAUGGGGGCCCGCGAUGGCUGCGCAGGCGCGUCCAAUACAGGCGGGGCCGGAAGGAGAGACAGGGCGCCGCCAUGACAGGUUGGGCCUAAAGGGAAUGGAAUGGUCCGCUUGCCGGCUCUGCGACCGGAAAAAACGAGGCAAGGACAGCGGACUUGGGCGCCGCCAUGACAACCUGUACCGGAAAAGGCGGGACUUUCCUCCCUGACUGAUUCCCUACCGGCACCGGCCUGGAGAUCCCACCAUGUCCCACAGGCAGGCGGCCCUGGAGGUCACUGCUCGCUACUGUGGCCGAGAGCUGGAGCAAUAUGGCCAGUGUGUGGCGGCCAAGCCUGAGUCAUGGCAGCGGGACUGUCAUCACCUUAAGAUGAGUAUUGCUCAAUGCACGUCCUCCCACCCAAUCAUCCGUCAGAUCCGCCAGGCCUGUGCUGAGCCUUUUGAGGCCUUUGAGGAGUGUCUUCGACAGAAUGAGGCAGCUGUGGGCAACUGUGCAGAGCAUGUGCGCCGCUUCCUUCAGUGUGCUGAGCAGGUGCGGCCAGCACACUCACCCUCAGCUGUGGAGAAAUUAUGCGAUGCAUGGUGUGUUGGGUCAGCUGGACAGAGGAAAGAAUGUCACUCUGAAAAGUAUUAAGAAGCAGCAAAAAUGCCAAGGACACAGACAAGUUUGUGUAAUGAAGGGACCUGCACUCCUGAGGCUCUCAAGGGCAGAUGCCUGGACACCGUCCCUGGAGCUGCCUUUGCUGCAGAGCGUGGGCUGACAGGCAAAUCUCAUCCUUCCCAGGAUAAGCCACAUGGGAUAACACCAUGACUGUGGUGCAACAGUGCAGGGGCCUGGUGAAGAAAAGGAGGAAAUGCAGACCAGAAAAAUGAAGAACCAGAACGACCCCCAGGCAUCUAGUCCCAGCAGAGCACCAGCCCCAGGGAACUGGGUCGAGGCAAGCAUGUUUUUUCUGGAAUGCUCUCCUUCUUUCUAAAAUACAUCCUUUAGAAUUCACUGAAGCUCUGUUGGAGGCACCCCCUCUACUUUGUUAGCUUGAAAAUGUCUUCAUUUUGCUUCAUUCUUCAGGAGUAUUUUUACUGAUUGCAAAAUUCCAAGUCGACAGUCAGUGGAAAAAAAAAAAAAGAAUUAACAUAGCAGGCCCAAGGCUGCUAUCUUUAGAAAGGACUGCUUACAAGAAUGGCCCUUGGCUGGCAUCUGGGUCCUUGGCUUUCAGAAGGGUUCCCAUCAUUCCCUAACUGACAAGAAUGGCUUCCUGUGUUGAAACCGUAGCAUAUGGCUUAUGCUGAACAUCUGCUCUCCAACUGGGAGGCUGGAGUUUUGACAUGUGCUAGACAGAGGUGCCUACGUUACCAGUUCCCAAUACAAAUCUUACACACUGAGUCUCUAAUGAGCUUCCCUGGUGGACAACAUUUCACACAUGUUGUCAUAACUCUGCCGGAAGAAUUAAGCGUGUUCUGUGUGACUCCACUGGGAGAGGACUCUUGGAACUUGCAUCUGGUUUCCUUUGGACUGUGCCCCAUGCACCAUUUCCUUUUUUUUUCCUUUGUAUCUUUUUACUCUAAUAAAUCAUUGCAUGAGUCUGACUGUA